rnacentral:lncRNA from 1 species
AGGUACGCUGAUAAAAUAAAUGGUGUCGAAAUAAAACGGACCUUAGCAGCGGCCUUCUUGCCGGUCGCCUUGCAUGCGACCUGCAGAGCCUUGCGCGAGGUGGCGAGAGCGAAAGCCAUUUUAGAUGUUCGUAAGGUGAUCAGACUCUGCUGCACAAAGGAGAGAACUGAUACCGGAAACACAGGCAACCAGCGCUUUUGUUUUGCAAGCAAAUCUUGAUGCCGUACGCACGCCGUAUCCCUGUCCUGUCCGUGGGACAGGGCGCUUACCUAACAGAGAUCGCAGGAUACAGACAUGGCACACCUGCAACACAUGCGCUUAACAGCUAUCUGCACCUGCACAGAUUGGCAUGAACGAUUUGCUACACCUGCUUGCAAGUUUCAUACAAGUUUCUGAUGCAAGGAUAACUCAGUGGCGACUGUAUAAAUGCUGUGACGUGCACGCUGAACAUGGAUUUUGAUACGCACUGCAAAGCAUUCUUUAGGCGCCAAAAGUGGUCUCUCCAUGUUUGACCCUAGCUGUUCGGCCUUUACUCAUUACCAGUACCGUAGGACGGGAGGACAGUAGCUGUUGUCCUUGCUAGGAAGCAAGCUGAUAUAAUGGGUCACGCUGCUUAGGACGGCAAAGGGCAUUCCAUCCCGGACAGGGCCGGUGAACACAAGGUCCAAGCUCUGCUGGACCGCAAAAGGGCGACAGCGCCGAACCGGAGGCCGUUUAGGACCGAAGGAAGGCAACAAGCACGUCCGUAGCAACCUGUCGUAGCAACACAUCCGAUCAAGGGAGGACGGGCGGCCUCAACCAAACGCAUGAGCUCUUCGCAACUUACAAUCGGCCACGGGCUUCCAAACGUCGGAGCCUAAGGCUGGCACCUGGGAAAAGCUCCUACUUUGCCCAUGGCUUGCCUUUGACCUCUGAAGUACUGAACGGAACGCCAGCACGCCCUCUGUUUGUUACCUCUUUUGCCAGGGGUUUCACAACGCACGCUACAUGUUCAGCACUCCACGCAUGCUUAGCUUCAGGCUAUCCAUUAAACCGUGGUGAAAGGAACAAAGACGAACCUCUUGUGACCAGCAGUUUUAUGCAUAAAAUCGCGGGGCAGUAUCAGAUAGACAAGGGACAGCGGGUAGCCUAUUUGUGUGUGUCGUCCUGCCUUUCUGGGGGAGUACUGGAACCAUGGCACUGGCAUACGGUGUUCGGUUCUUAAGCUACGGGAGCAGGUGGUCAAACCAUUGGCGAUGCUGCAUGCUCUGGCCUUGCGGAUGCGAAACUGAUCGAAAGGGGCCUGCCAGCCAGGGUGAUACUGAAAGCAGUAGCCAGCAUGCAGCGGCGUCCAUCUGGUUGCCGAGCUUUUAAGACUCCAUAUCAUUGCACGUCCCAUGGUUCUACACCGGACUGUAAUCCAGGUAACGGCAUCACUCAUUACAAGGCUCCAGUCCGACUUCGUGCCUUUUUCCUUCGACUUAAGUGUGGCGUGUGCGUGUGUAUGUGAGUGUGUAUAUGUGCGUGUGUGUGUAUGCGUGUGUGUGUGUGCGUGUGUGUGUGUGUGUGCGUGUGCGUGUGCGUGUGUGUGUGUGUGUGCGUGUGUGUGUGUGUGUGUGUGCAUGUGUGUGCGCGUGUGUGCAUGUGUGUGCGCGUGUGUGCAUGUGUGUGGGUGUGGGUGUGCGUCUGUGUGUUUCUGCAUGACAAGAAAAAGAAAGAGAGUGAGUGUGUGGUUUGUGUUUGUGAGUUUGUGUGUGUUUGUGUUUGUAAGUAUGUGUGUGUUGGGGUGUGUGUGUGUGAUUUUUUGUUAUGCAUAUCGACAGGUUUUUCGUGGUGCUGAUGCUGUGCUAUCCGAAACGGGACACAUAAGCCCGAGGCGAGCGCCACAAUAAGCCUUCUUGGUGCAACGGGGUACCUUCCAGUGGCAACGUAGUUCCUGGCUGUGAGGAAGGUAGCGAGCCUGGUUCGCGGAGGCCGAGGCCGCUGUACGCAAGAGGGAUUGGCGAUGACCUAUGCCGCGCCAGUGAUGAUGUCGGCGGGGAGUGACCUACCAACGUGGUUUGCUGAAGUUUAACUCUUGCACUGUACGACAACCGAGGCCAUCAACCCGCGAUUAAGCGCCUAGCUCACUUCGCUAACACAGGAUAGCCACGAUAACCCUUGGCUUCGUUGCGUAAUAGAGCGUGGCCAUAUGCACCUCGAAUCAUCCCUCUGAAUGACAUGUUCCUUUAGCUCGUGUCUCGCGCGUGUUCUCCAUGUGUGCCUGUUUGCGUGGCCGCCUUUGCAGUACGCGCCCACCAAAAUGGCUGUAUGUGCUCCCGCCCCAAGAAGCGGUGAAACAAGCACUGGAACCGAGACCUUCCUUAUGUCAUGAACACCGAAAUGUUACAGGAGCUUGCUUGGCGCAACGCACCCAGCACGUGCAUGCGCUUUGUAUGAAGCUCUUGAUAUCUCACGUCUCACCGCCCAAUACCCCACCCAAAAGUAAGAGCUCCACCUCAACACCCGUGCUGUGGGAAACCCCUACUAGGAAACACCCACAUCAAAACUUCAGGCCCGUAACAGGACCGCUUCCGCCGCUGCUCACCACUCACCACGCGGGAACUCAUCGCAGGAACACGACAUCAAAAACAGAGGUGGCCACAGUGCGACAACGAGGUUCGAUGGAAUAACUGACAAGCACCCACGCAUCACUCAACAGUUUUGGCAAGCUGCGCNNNNNNNNNNNNNNNNNNNNNNNNNNNNNNNNNNNNNNNNNNNNNNNNNNNNNNNNNNNNNNNNNNNNNNNNNNNNNNNNNNNNNNNNNNNUUCAUACAGUUUCUGAUGCAAGGAUAACUCAGUGGCGACUGUAUAAAUGCUGUGACGUGCACGCUGAACAUGGAUUUUGAUACGCACUGCAAAGCAUUCUUUAGGCGCCAAAAGUGGUCUCUCCAUGUUUGACCCUAGCUGUUCGGCCUUUACUCAUUACCAGUACCGUAGGACGGGAGGACAGUAGCUGUUGUCCUUGCUAGGAAGCAAGCUGAUAUAAUGGGUCACGCUGCUUAGGACGGCAAAGGGCAUUCCAUCCCGGACAGGGCCGGUGAACACAAGGUCCAAGCUCUGCUGGACCGCAAAAGGGCGACAGCGCCGAACCGGAGGCCGUUUAGGACCGAAGGAAGGCAACAAGCACGUCCGUAGCAACCUGUCGUAGCAACACAUCCGAUCAAGGGAGGACGGGCGGCCUCAACCAAACGCAUGAGCUCUUCGCAACUUACAAUCGGCCACGGGCUUCCAAACGUCGGAGCCUAAGGCUGGCACCUGGGAAAAGCUCCUACUUUGCCCAUGGCUUGCCUUUGACCUCUGAAGUACUGAACAGAACGCCAGCACGCCCUCUGUUUGUUACCUCUUUUGCCAGGGGUUUCACCACGCACGCUACAUGUUCAGCACUCCACGCAUGCUUAGCUUCAUGCUAUCAAUUAAACCGUGGUGAAAGGAACAAAGACGAACUUCUUGUGACCAGCAGUUUUAUGCAUAAAAUCGCGGGGCAGUAUCAGAUAGACAAGGGACAGCGGGUAGCCUAUUUGUGUGUGUCGUCCUGCCUCUCUGGGGGAGUACUGGAACCAUGGCACUGGCAUACGGUAUUCGGUUCUUAAGCUACGGGAGCAGGUGGUCAAACCAUUGGCGAUGCUGCAUGCUCUGGCCUUGCGGAUGCGAAACUGAUCGAAAGGGGCCUGCCAGCCAGGGUGAUACUGAAAGCAGUAGCCAGCAUGCAGCGGCGUCCAUCUGGUUGACGAGCUUUUAAGACUCCAUAUCAUUGCACGUCCCAUGGUUCUACACCGGACUGUAAUCCAGGUAACGGCAUCACUCAUUACAAGGCUCCAGUCCGACUUCGUGCCUUUUUCCUUCGACUUAAGUGUGGCGUGUGUGUGUGCCUGUGUGUGUGCCUGUGUGUGUGUGCCUGUGUGUGUGUGUGUGUGUGUGUUCUGCAUGACAAGAAAAAGAAAAAGAGUGAGUGUGUGGCUUGUGUUUGUGAGUUUGUGUGAGCUUGUGUGUGUUUGUAUGUGUUUGUGUUUGUGAGGAUGUGUGUGUUUGUGAUUUUGUGUUAUGCAUAUCGACAGGUUUUUCGUGGUGCUGAUGCUGUGCUAUCCGAAACGGAACACAUAAGCCCGAGGCGAGCGCCACAAUAAGCCUUCUUGGUGCAUCGGUGCAUAAGCCACAAUAAGCCUUCUUGGUGCAUCGGGGUACCUUCCAGUGGCAACGUAGUUCCUGGCUGUGAGGAAGGUAGCGAGCCUGGUUCGCGGAGGCCGAGGCCGCUGUACGCUUGAUGUUCCUUUAGCUCGUGUCUCGCGCGUGUUCUCCAUGUGUGCCUGUUUGCGUGGCCGCCUUUGCAGUACGUACCCACCAAAAUGGCUGUAUGUGCUCCAGACCCAAGAAGCGGUGAAACAAGCACUGGAACCGAGACCUUCCUUAUGUCAUGAACACCGAAAUGUUACAGGAGCUUGCUUGGCGCAACGCAUCCAGCAUGUGCAUGCGCUUUGUAUGAAGCUCUUGAUAUCUCACGUCUCGCCGCCCAAUACCCCACCCAAAAGUAAGAGCUCCACCUCAACACCCGUGCUGUGGGAAACCCCUACUAGGAAACACCCACAUCAAAACUUCAGGCCCGUAACAGGACCGCUUCCGCCGCUGCUCACCACUCACCACGCGGGAACUCAUCGCAGGAACACGACAUCAAAAACAGAGGUGGCCACAGUGCGACAACGAGGUUCGAUGGACAUAACUGACAAGCACCCACGCAUCACUCAACAGUUUUGGCAAGCUGCGCAUCCAAGCGUAUUUACCCAACAGCGACGGAUAGGCAACUACUGCCUGCAAUUGCUAUGCAUGUGACGUCUCGUAUACCGGUAUUGGCAGUUUAUUGGUUAUGCUGUGUCUACGUUCACAUAGCUAAACAACGUAACGUAGCUGAAGGCAGCAGCGGCCGGCAGAUGCGGACAACCGCUUCGACUAGCAAACGUAGCAGCGAUACAUUACGCGCUGGGCGUGAACUUGGUGGCGAAGGCGAAGGCGUUGUUGACGGCCGGGUUGGCCAGAUGGUCGUUCAGGUUCUCAAUGGGCCCCUUGCCGGUCACAAUGGCCUGCACGAAGAAGCCGAACAUGGAGAACAUGGCCAGGCGGCCGUUCUUGAUCUCCUUGACCUGAGCNNNNNNNNNNNNNNNNNNNNNNNNNNNNNNNNNNNNNNNNNNNNNNNNNNAAAGCAUUUAGAUGUUCGUAAGGUGAUCAGACUCUGCUGCACAAAGGAGAGAACUGAUACCGGAAACACAGGCAACCAGCGCUUUUGUUUUGCAAGCAAAUCUUGAUGCCGUACGCACGCCGUAUCCCUGUCCUGUCCGUGGGACAGGGCGCUUACCUAACAGAGAUCGCAGGAUACAGACAUGGCACACCUGCAACACAUGCGCUUAACAGCUAUCUGCACCUGCACAGAUUGGCAUGAACGAUUUGCUACACCUGCUUGCAAGUUUCAUACAAGUUUCUGAUGCAAGGAUAACUCAGUGGCGACUGUAUAAAUGCUGUGACGUGCACGCUGAACAUGGAUUUCGAUACGCACUGCAAAGCAUUCUUUAGGCGCCAAAAGUGGUCUCUCCAUGUUUGACCCUAGCUGUUCGGCCUUUACUCAUUACCAGUACCGUAGGACGGGAGGACAGUAGCUGUUGUCCUUGCUAGGAAGCAAGCUGAUAUAAUGGGUCACGCUGCUUAGGACGGCAAAGGGCAUUCCAUCCCGGACAGGGCCGGUGAACACAAGGUCCAAGCUCUGCUGGACCGCAAAAGGGCGACAGCGCCGAACCGGAGGCCGUUUAGGACCGAAGGAAGGCAACAAGCACGUCCGUAGCAACCUGUCGUAGCAACACAUCCGAUCAAGGGAGGACGGGCGGCCUCAACCAAACGCAUGAGCUCUUCGCAACUUACAAUCGGCCACGGGCUUCCAAACGUCGGAGCCUAAGGCUGGCACCUGGGAAAAGCUCCUACUUUGCCCAUGGCUUGCCUUUGACCUCUGAAGUACUGAACGGAACGCCAGCACGCCCUCUGUCUGUUACCUCUUUUGCCAGGGGUUUCACAACGCACGCUACAUGUUCAGCACUCCACGCAUGCUUAGCUUCAGGCUAUCCAUUAAACCGUGGUGAAAGGAACAAAGACGAACUUCUUGUGACCAGCAGUUUUAUGCAUAAAAUCGCGGGGCAGUAUCAGAUAGACAAGGGACAGCGGGUAGCCUAUUUGUGUGUGUCGUCCUGCCUCUCUGGNGGAGUACUGGAACCAUGGCACUGGCAUACGGUAUUCGGUUCUUAAGUUACGGGAGCAGGUGGUCAAACCAUUGGCGAUGCUGCAUGCUCUGGCCUUGCGGAUNNNNNNNNNNNNNNNNNNNNNNNNNNNNNNNNNNNNNNNNNNNNNNNNNNNNNNNNNNNNNNNNNNNAAGGACACUGCAAAUACGUAUGUGCGUCUAUGUAAAGUACGCUGAUAAAAUAAAUGGUGUCGAAAUAAAACGGACCUUAGCAGCGGCCUUCUUGCCGGUCGCCUUGCAUGCGACCUGCAGAGCCUUGCGCGAGGUGGCGAGAGCGAAAGCCAUUUUAGAUGUUCGUAAGGUGAUCAGACUCUGCUGCACAAAGGAGAGAACUGAUACCGGAAACACAGGCAACCAGCGCUUUUGUUUUGCAAGCAAAUCUUGAUGCCGUACGCACGCCGUAUCCCUGUCCUGUCCGUGGGACAGGGCGCUUACCUAACAGAGAUCGCAGGAUACAGACAUGGCACACCUGCAACACAUGCGCUUAACAGCUAUCUGCACCUGCACAGAUUGGCAUGAACGAUUUGCUACACCUGCUUGCAAGUUUCAUACAAGUUUCUGAUGCAAGGAUAACUCAGUGGCGACUGUAUAAAUGCUGUGACGUGCACGCUGAACAUGGAUUUU